GAAACACGGACCAAGGAGUGCAACAGUUGCGCGAGUAGUCGGGUGAUGAAACCCGUGGGAUGCGCAAUGAAGGUAAAGGCGGGACGUGUGGCCCGCCGAGGCGAGAGCCGCGUCCGCGCGGCGCAUCGUCGACCGAUCCGUUGCCACGCCGUGGCGGGAUUCGAGUGAGAGCGUUGCUGUUGCGACCCGAAAGAUGGUGAACUAUGCCUGAGUAGGGCGAAGCCAGAGGAAACUCUGGUGGAAGCCCGCAGCGGUUCUGACGUGCAAAUCGAUCGUCAAACUUGGGUAUAGGGGCGAAAGACUAAUCGAACCAUCUAGUAGCUGGUUCCCUCCGAAGUUUCCCUCAGGAUAGCUGGAGCCCGUUGCGCAGUUUUAUCAGGUAAAGCGAAUGAUUAGAGGUCUUGGGGUCGAAACGACUUCAACCUAUUCUCAAACUUUAAAUGGGUAAGACGUCCGGCUUGCUCAAGCGAAGCCGGGCCACGAAUGCCUGGGCUCCCAGUGGGCCAUUUUUGGUAAGCAGAACUGGCGAUGCGGGAUGAACCGAACGCCGGGUUAAGGUGCCCGAAUCGACGCUCAUCAGAUCCCAGGAAAGGUGUUGGUUGAUCUAGACAGCAGGACGGUGGCCAUGGAAGUCGGAAUCCGCUAAGGAGUGUGUAACAACUCACCUG
rnacentral:rRNA from 1 species